rnacentral:lncRNA from 1 species
GUCAAAGGUUGUCUUUAUUUUGUUCUAGAUUAUAUACAAGUAAUAUCUCAUUUUUCCAUAACAUUUAUUCCAAGAGACUAAUAAGCAAGGAACAUAGUAAAGGUGUUCACUACAUGGUUAAAUAAGUCAUGCAUUACAUCUUCUACACAGAGAACUUUUGAUCUUUCUCCUUAUCGCUUUGUCUUAGCUGUUCCACCAGAAUGAGCUGAAAUUUUGCUGAAUACUUUCAGAUAGCAUAAGACACUAUUUAAGGAGAGAGGAGAGGCAAACAUGAAACUGGAAUUUUCAUAACAAAGAAAAAGAUAAAAGAAAAUAGUUACCCUUUGUUUAGUCUCUGUUAGAGAACAAAUACUCAUAAUUAAACUGUAACUGGAAUCAAAAUGUAGUUUGGGAUAAACAACCUAAAUGGCCUCCAAAAUAAAUUACAGUACUCAUUUCUCUAUUGUUGUGUCUUCCUCCUCUCUAUCCCUCCCCCUUCUCUCAACCAGUUUCACCAGGAAGCAGGACUGUGUGGAGCCUGGCCUUGAAUGUCACCACUAAACAGGUCCUUUUAUACCAACAUGCUUAACAAUUUGUUUGGUGCCAGCUACUUGCUCACUCCUUGGAAUUAUUCCAUGUCCUUGCUAAGAAGAAAGAUAAAAAAAAAAUGCAACUGGGCUUUGAGACACCUGAGAAAUUGGAUCAUCAGUGGAGCAGACUGGCAUAUGCAUCAUUGUAUCCUUUUACCAUAUUCAGUUAUUGAUUAACAUAUUAUUGAUAACUCCUCUAGAUUUAAGAAGGGUAUAUCCCUUUUUCUUUUCUUUUAAAUACAUAAAUAGACCAAUUUAAUAUCCAUGGUAUAUUGGAUAUUAGUUUUUCAGUGAACUCAUUAUUCCAACACUCAAUUCUGUGUCUUUGCACAGGAUAUAAAAUGCCUGGAAUAAAAGUAUUAUACAUAUCUCA